CCGAGUUUACCGAGACUCCCAAACCCCGUGCGAACCUUACCGUUUCCCGUUGCUUCGGCGGUGCCGCCCCGGGCGCGGGCCUCCCCAGAGGCCGCCAGCCCCGGACCCAGGCGCCCGCCGGGGGACCCCAAAAACUCCCGUGUAUCUCACCGAGCCCUUCUUCUGAGCCUCGCGCUCCUCCGAGCGGAGUGGAAAAUGAAAAUCA
rnacentral:misc_RNA from 1 species